rnacentral:rRNA from 1 species
UCCCGAGCGUUNUCCGGAUUUAUUGGGCGUAAAGCGAGCGCAGGCGGUUAGAAAAGUNUGAAGUGAAAGGCAGUGGCUCAACCNUUGUAGGCUUUGGAAACUGUUUAACUUGAGUGCAGAAGGGGAGAGUGGAAUUCCAUGUGUAGCGGUGAAAUGCGUAGAUAUAUGGAGGAACACCGGUGGCGAAAGCGGCUCUCUGGUCUGUAACUGACGCUGAGGCUCGAAAGCGUGGGGAGCGAACAGGAUUAGAUACCCUGGUAGUCCACGCCGUAAACGAUGAGUGCUAGGUGUUAGGUCCUUUCCGGGACUUAGUGCCGCAGCUAACGCAUUAAGCACUCCGCCUGGGGAGUACGACCGCAAGGUUGAAACUCAAAGGAAUUGACGGGGGCCCGCACAAGCGGUGGAGCAUGUGGUUUAAUUCGAAGCAACGCGAAGAACCUUACCAGGUCUUGACAUCCCGAUGCUAUUUCUAGAGAUAGGAAGUUUCUUCGGAACAUCGGUGACAGGUGGUGCAUGGUUGUCGUCAGCUCGUGUCGUGAGAUGUUGGGUUANNNNNNGCAACGAGCGCAACCCUUAUUGUUAGUUGCCAUCAUUGAGUUGGGCACUCUAGCGAGACUGCCGGUAAUAAACCGGAGGAAGGUGGGGAUGACGUCAAAUCAUCAUGUCCCUUAUGACCUGGGCUACACACGUGCUACAAUGGCUGGUACAACGAGUCGCAAGCCGGUGACGGCAAGCUAAUCUCUGAAAGCCAGUCUCAGUUCGGAUUGUAGGCUGCAACUCGCCUACAUGAAGUCGGAAUCGCUAGUAAUCGCGGAUCAGCACGCCGCGGUGAAUACGUUCCCGGGCCUNGU